UGGGGAAUAUUGGGCAAUGGAGGAAACUCUGACCCAGCAACGCCGCGUGAAGGAUGAAGGUUUUCGGAUUGUAAACUUCUGUCGCGAGGGACGAAGAAUGACGGUACCUCGUAAGAAAGCCCCGGCUAACUACGUGCCAGCAGCCGCGGUAAUACGUAGGGGGCGAGCGUUGUCCGGAAUGACUGGGCGUAAAGGGAGUGUAGGCGGCCUAUCAAGUUAGAUGUGAAAUCCCGCGGCUUAACCGCGGAACUGCAUCUAAAACUGGUGGGCUGGAGUGCAGGAGAGGUGAGUGGAAUUCCUAGU
rnacentral:rRNA from 1 species